rnacentral:tRNA from 1 species
GGUAAGAUGGCCGAGAAUAGGCGGCGGAUUGUAGCUCCGCCAACGGGCAUAAAGCCCUUUUACCA